CUGUAAAUAACUGCUUAAAGAAGGAUCAUUUAAAAAACAAGCUGAAACAUAUUUGGUGUUACUGGCAAGCCGUGCAAAGUGCGUUAGAGCAAGUCCACAUGGAUGGAUGAAGAAAACUUAAAAAACUAACAGAAACAAUAACUUUCACAUUGUUUAAUUCCGACCUCCACGUUUAAAAAGUCAAAUUCCGGACUGAAAUUCUGCUACAAUGACUGCUGACACUCACUGAGUUAGACCAAGAUAUAAUAACACUGCCACAAAGCAGCCAACUGGCUGCAGCGUGCUGUCUGCAGAUGGCCUUGCUAGAUGAUACUUUGGCUGUACUGACCUACAUAAACACGCUCUGACUUUGUCCCGUGGAAGUUGUGCGACCUCUGGCGUUAGCUGCAAGUUACUAUAACUAAACCCCGUCUCGAUCCACGCCUUGCUCCUCUCGUACAACAAACAACAUGGCGACGGAGAAAAAGCUCAGCUUGUGGCUUCAUAAUAAAAGUUCGUUAAUCAGCGUGAUUUUCAGGUGGAGCAGGGAGGGAUUGAACCACCAAGUAGUUCAUCAUUUUGGACUACAGCUUAGAUAGAGUUCAUUCUCCUCAAACACAUGACAGCAGGGCAGUCUGGAUUGCUAAGGUCAAUUACCAGCUACAAGCCAGGGGGAAAACACACCAAGCUCAGCUACAAUGAAAACACAGCUGUGCAUUUGGAAACAGACCUUUGCAGUUCCGUCUGUUGAAGAGUGGCAUGUAGAUGAUUGUGGGCUCCUUCUCUUUCCCCUCCAGCACAUAGCAGUCCUUCGGCCAGU